AGGUGUGACCCACCAUGCCUGGACAAUUUUUUAAAUUUUUUUGUAGAGACGGGGUCUCACUAUGUUGCCCAGGCUGGUCUUGAACUCCUGGGCUCAAACAGUCCUCCUGUUUCAGCCUCCCAAAGCGUUGGGAUUACAGGUGUAAGCCACCGCAGCCAGCCUCUGGGCCAUUCUCAUAAAUUCAGGGAACAAAACCCUUAGCCAGAUGUGCCUCCAAAGAAGCAUGGACAAAUCACAGCUCUGCAGGAGGGCUUGCAAGGUCAGCGACACAGCCAAUGCAGGGCACUGGAGGAGUGAAGGAUGAAGACACAGCCCAACCCAUGCUCCUUAUUACCGUGGUCUUUAGCCGCCGCUCCAGGUCCACCAUGUCAAGCAGAGGAAAGGCCAUCCGCAGCUCAUCCACGGUGACGACAUUUCGGAAGCCCAGUCUGGAGCAAGCUCAGGAAGUAAUGCUGGACAGUUCUUGGGGAAGAUGCCUUUCUGAAUGCAUCAAAUCACAAGUGAAGGGAACACAACCCACUCCUGAUCAAGCCAGGCAGGAGGGCACCAAGCAGAGCCCAGCAAGGAUGGCACAAAUCCUGCAGGUGCUGGCAGGCAGGCUGUAACUGCACAGGUAGAGUAGAGAGGGCAGCUCCUGGGUAACCCACCAGCAGUCACCAGGCACAUGCCAGCUACCAGGUCCUAUGCUGGGCACAGCCUAGGGGGCAAAGGCACAUAAGAAUCUCUGUCCCCAGCUGGGUGCAGUGGCUCAUGCCUGAAAUCCCAGCACUUUGGGAGGCUGAGGCAGGAGGAUGGCUUGAGCCCAGGAGUUCCAGCCAGCAUGGGCAACAUAGUGAGACCUUGUCUCUACAAAUAAAGUCAGCUAGGCAUGGUGGUGCACACCUGUCGUCUACUCAGGAGGCUGGGGCAGGAGGAUCAUUUGAGCCCAGGAGGUCAAGGCUACAGUGAGCUAUGAUUGCACCACUGCACUCCAACUUGGGCAACAGAGUGUGACCCUGUCUCAAAAAAAAACAAAAAACUCUGUCCCCAAGGAGCUAGCACAUUCAGAGCCCAUCAAAACCAGUGUUCUCUGAGAACAGUGCUGCUAGUCAGUGCUGAGUUCAGAAGAGACUCCUCAGUGGGCUGGGGAGUCCAGAGGAGUCAUGGAGAAGUAGGGCUGGAGCUAAAAUCUUAAAGGAUGAACCCAAAUCAUCAAGGAAGAGGCGGCCUUGGGGAGGGGCAAGCCAGCUUCAGCCUAUCUCCUCUAAGAUCUGCCUCCAUUUUCCUAUCCUCAAUUCCAACUUGCAAUCUUAACUGGACAUGGUUUGAUUACUCUCAAAAUGAAUUUCCCCAAAAUCCUGAUUCUAUCAGAUUGCCCCAUCAGCAAUAAAGCGUGCCCUGCUUUCCACUGCCCUGAGAAGUCGGUCAGACUCCUCAAGUUUACUUCCAAGGUUCCCGACAACCUGGCACCACCCUUCCUGUUCUUUCCUUCCUCUCCCUAUCCCAUUCCCAACCUCCUACUUCCCCUGCUUAGGAGCUUAGCCAUCUCCUGGGGCUCCGCUGUACCCCUCCAAGAAGCCACAGGCAACUCCUGCCCCAGGGAUACUCCAAGCCCUCCCCUCCACACCUGUGGCGCCCUCCUGUGAGCUUACCGGCCUUCAAUCACAUGCCAUCGCACACGCUCCACACCUGUGACGCCCUCCUGUGAGCUUACCGGCCUUCGAUCACACGCCAUCGCACACGCUCCACACCUGUGGCACACUCCUGUGAGCUUACAGGCCUUCGAUCACACGCCAUCGCACACGCUCCACACCUGUGGCGCCCUCCUGUGAGCUUACCGGCCUUCGAUCACACGUCAUCGCACACGCCCCACACCUGUGACGCCCUCCUGUGAGCUUACCGGCCUUCAAUCACACGCCAUCGCACACGCCCCACACCUGUGACGCCCUCCUGUGAGCUUACCGGCCUUCGAUCACACGCCAUCGCACACGCCCCACACCUGUGACGCCCUCCUGUGAGCUUACCGGCCUUCGAUCACACGCCAUCGCACACGCCCCACACCUGUGACGCCCUCCUGUGAGCUUACCGGCAUUCGAUCACACGCCAUCGCACACGCCCCACACCUGUGACGCCCUCCUGUGAGCUUACCGGCCUUCGAUCACACGUCAUCGCACACGCCCCACACCUGUGACGCCCUCCUGUGAGCUUACCGGCCUUCGAUCACACGCCAUCGCACACGCCCCACACCUGUGACGCCCUCCUGUGAGCUUACCGGCCUUCGAUCACACGCCAUCGCACACGCCCCACACCUGUGACGCCCUCCUGUGAGCUUACCGGCCUUCGAUCACACGCCAUCGCACACGCCCCACACCUGUGACGCACUCCUGUGAGCUUACAGGCCUUCGAUCACACGCCAUCGCACACGCCCCACACCUGUGGCGCACUCCUGUGAGCUUACCGGCCUUCGAUCACAUGCCAUCGCACACGCCCCACACCUGCGACGCCCUCCUGUGAGCUUACCGGCCUUCACAUGCCAUCGCACACGCUCCACACCUGUGGCACACUCCUGUGAGCUUACCGGCCUUCGAUCACACGCCAUCGCACACGCCCCACACCUGUGGCACACUCCUGUGAGCUUACCGGCCUUCGAUCACACGCCAUCGCACACGCCCCACACCUGUGGCGCCCUCCUGUGAGCUUACCGGCCUUCAAUCACACGCCAUCGCACACGCCCCACACCUGUGGCACACUCCUGUGAGCUCACAGGCCUUCGAUCACAUGCCAUCGCACACGCUCCACACCUGUGGCGCCCUCCUGUGAGCUUACCGGCCUUCGAUCACACGCCAUCACACACGCCCCACACCUGUGACGCCCUCCUGUGAGCUUACCGGCCUUCGAUCACACGCCAUCGCACACGCUCCUUUACUGCUCAUGGUGUUAUUCUUGCCUCCAGCACAAGCCCUUGAUUGAUUCAUAAGUCCUACGCCCUCAUCCUGGUCCUCGUCCCAUUCAGAGUGUGCGGCAGACCGCUGGUACACAGGACGUGCUCAGCACAACAGUUGCUUAAAACGGGCCAGGUAUUAUUCCGCAGGCUCCCAGAGACAGGCUCCCGGUAGCUGCUUCACUACCACUGGCUAAU
rnacentral:lncRNA from 1 species